rnacentral:rRNA from 1 species
CAGGAAAGGGGCGGGCGUGCUUACACAUGCAAGUCGAACGAUGAUGCCCAGCUUGCUGGGCGGAUUAGUGGCGAACGGGUGAGUAAUACGUGAGUAACCUGCCCUUGACUCUGGGAUAAGCCUGGGAAACUGGGUCUAAUACUGGAUACUACCUCUUACCGCAUGGUGGGUGGUGGAAAGGGUUUUACUGGUUUUGGAUGGGCUCACGGCCUAUCAGCUUGUUGGUGGGGUAAUGGCUCACCAAGGCGACGACGGGUAGCCGGCCUGAGAGGGUGACCGGCCACACUGGGACUGAGACACGGCCCAGACUCCUACGGGAGGCAGCAGUGGGGAAUAUUGCACAAUGGGCGGAAGCCUGAUGCAGCGACGCCGCGUGAGGGAUGACGGCCUUCGGGUUGUAAACCUCUUUCAGUAGGGAAGAAGCGAGAGUGACGGUACCUGCAGAAGAAGCGCCGGCUAACUACGUGCCAGCAGCCGCGGUAAUACGUAGGGCGCAAGCGUUGUCCGGAAUUAUUGGGCGUAAAGAGCUCGUAGGCGGUUUGUCGCGUCUGCUGUGAAAGCCCGGGGCUCAACCCCGGGUCUGCAGUGGGUACGGGCAGACUAGAGUGCAGUAGGGGAGACUGGAAUUCCUGGUGUAGCGGUGAAAUGCGCAGAUAUCAGGAGGAACACCGAUGGCGAAGGCAGGUCUCUGGGCUGUUACUGACGCUGAGGAGCGAAAGCAUGGGGAGCGAACAGGAUUAGAUACCCUGGUAGUCCAUGCCGUAAACGUUGGGCACUAGGUGUGGGGGACAUUCCACGUUUUCCGCGCCGUAGCUAACGCAUUAAGUGCCCCGCCUGGGGAGUACGGCCGCAAGGCUAAAACUCAAAGGAAUUGACGGGGGCCCGCACAAGCGGCGGAGCAUGCGGAUUAAUUCGAUGCAACGCGAAGAACCUUACCAGGGCUUGACAUUCACCGGACCGCCCAGAGAUGGGGUUUCUCUUCGGGGCUGGUGGACAGGUGGUGCAUGGUUGUCGUCAGCUCGUGUCGUGAGAUGUUGGGUUAAGUCCCGCAACGAGCGCAACCCUCGUUCUAUGUUGCCAGCACGUGAUGGUGGGGACUCAUAGGAGACUGCCGGGGUCAACUCGGAGGAAGGUGGGGAUGACGUCAAAUCAUCAUGCCCCUUAUGUCUUGGGCUUCACGCAUGCUACAAUGGCCGGUACAAAGGGUUGCGAUACUGUGAGGUGGAGCUAAUCCCAAAAAGCCGGUCUCAGUUCGGAUUGAGGUCUGCAACUCGACCUCAUGAAGUCGGAGUCGCUAGUAAUCGCAGAUCAGCAACGCUGCGGUGAAUACGUUCCCGGGCCUUGUACACACCGCCCGUCAAGUCACGAAAGUUGGUAACACCCGAAGCCGGUGGCCUAACCCCUUGUGGGAGGGAGCCGUCGAA